AGUGUAUGGAGCAUCAAUAUUCUAGUAUGAGAAAUUAACGAUUUAGGUCGUUCUUAAAUGAGGCCAUUUACCCAUAAAGGGUGCCAGGCCCGUAUAACGUUAAUGAUUACUAGAUGGUGAUUCCAAAGAGUCGUGUUGCUUGAUAGUUCAGCACUAAGUGGGUGGUAAACUCCAUCUAAAACUAAAUAUGACCAUGAGACCGAUAGUAAACAAGUACUGAAUAG
rnacentral:ncRNA from 1 species